rnacentral:rRNA from 1 species
GACGAACGCUGGCGGCGUGCCUAAUACAUGCAAGUAGAACGCUGAAGGAGGAGCUUGCUUCUCCGGAUGAGUUGCGAACGGGUGAGUAACGCGUAGGUAACCUGCCUGGUAGCGGGGGAUAACUAUUGGAAACGAUAGCUAAUACCGCAUAAGAGUAGAUGUUGCAUGACAUUUGCUUAAAAGGUGCAAUUGCAUCACUACCAGAUGGACCUGCGUUGUAUUAGCUAGUUGGUGAGGUAACGGCUCACCAAGGCGACGAUACAUAGCCGACCUGAGGGGGGGAUCGGCCACACUGGGACUGAGACACGGCCCAGACUCCUACGGGAGGCAGCAGUAGGGAAUCUUCGGCAAUGGACGGAAGUCUGACCGAGCAACGCCGCGUGAGUGAAGAAGGUUUUCGGAUCGUAAAGCUCGGUUGUAAGAGAAGAACGAGUGUGAGAGUGGAAAGUUCACACUGUGACGGUAUCUUACCAGAAAGGGACGGCUAACUACGUG